AGAAUUCUGAGGUGUACGCGAUGCCAACAUACUGUGUUGACCGAACAUUUUUACUAAAACAAUGGGAUUCUGAAGGAAAAAAGAAUGGCACGCCUUAUCACUUGGAAGUCAGACUUUUUUCUGGUGAAGCCCCCCUGCCUUUAGCGGGUUCAACCUAAACUGGCAUACUACCGGCACCAUCGGAUUUCUU
rfam:Alkalibacterium sp. AK22 ATG3_contig_1, whole genome shotgun sequence.